GACGUAGGGGGCCAGCGUUGUUCGGAAUUACUGGGUGUAAAGGGUUCGUAGGCGGUGCGGCAAGUUGGGAGUGAAAUCUCUGGGCUUAACCCAGAGGCUGCUUCCAAAAACUGCUGUGCUUGAGUGUGGGAGAGGCGCGUGGAAUUGCAGGUGUAGCGGUGAAAUGCGUAGAUAUCUGCAGGAACACCCGUGGCGAAAGCGGCGCGCUGGACCACUACUGACGCUGAGGAACGAAAGCUAGGGGAGCAAACAGG
rnacentral:rRNA from 1 species